rnacentral:tRNA from 1 species
GCCGGCGUGGCUCAGUGGUUGAGCGUCCACCUAUGAACCAGGAGGCCCCAGGUUCAAUUCCUGGUUGGGGCA